UUCUCCGAGGCUCAAAUCAAGGUUCUAAGGAUAAUUUGACAAAAAGGGUAGGCUUGAAAGGCUCAAACGGUUCAAAGAAGGCCCAAAUCAUAUCCCAAUUCACUUACUACCAACACUUCGUAUCAUAAAUGUCCUAAGGUGAGAGUUAAAACCGAACAAAGCAUGAUUGAGCACAAAUAAAUUCCAAAUUUAAAAUGCAAAACAUUCAACCAAAGCAAUGCACAAGGCGUGAUUCCUAGCAAUAAUUCACUUCUACGUUCCGUUGAAUCGAAAGCUAAACGAAUACAUACUCCUUAUCAACAUAAAACAAGUAAUCUCAUCAUCAAACAUUGACCAUCUCCCAUCAUCAUAGU
rnacentral:lncRNA from 1 species